rnacentral:rRNA from 1 species
GAUGAACGCUGGCGGCGUGCCUAACACAUGCAAGUCGAACGAAGCGAUUUAACGGAAGUUUUCGGAUGGAAGUUGAAUUGACUGAGUGGCGGACGGGUGAGUAACGCGUGGGUAACCUGCCUUGUACUGGGGGACAACAGUUAGAAAUGACUGCUAAUACCGCAUAAGCGCACAGUAUCGCAUGAUACGGUGUGAAAAACUCCGGUGGUACAAGAUGGACCCGCGUCUGAUUAGCUAGUUGGUGGGGUAACGGCUCACCAAGGCGACGAUCAGUAGCCGACCUGAGAGGGUGACCGGCCACAUUGGGACUGAGACACGGCCCAA